rnacentral:lncRNA from 1 species
GCCCCUUCUGUCUUCAGAGCGUCGUUGCAUCCAGUUUCUGAAAGCAAUAAAAUUGCAUGAAUACUCUUCAAAAUUACUAUUUGUAUUAUACUCUUAUAAAUAUUUCUUUUUACAUAUUUAUUUAUUAAUAAUAUUUUGUUAUUUUAAUUUUAAACCAAUAAAUAGCAUGAAUACAUAUAAAAAAAGAAUAUAUAUACAAAACAAGUAUUUGAUGAGGAUAUACAUCCAAAUAUUAAUUUUAAAAAAAAUAUUUAUACAAAUUCUAAUAUUUAAAAGAAUAUGUAUAAAAAAUGUUAUUAUAUAUAU